AGGAGAGAGAUGGGUGCGAG
rnacentral:misc_RNA from 1 species